AUCUAAAUAGUUUAUUGUAAAAUAUUGGUUUGUGGUGCCAGUGAUGAAGUUUGGUUCUUCUUUGGGUU
rnacentral:tRNA from 1 species